AAGUCGUAACAAGGUUUCUGUAGGUGAACCUGCAGAAGGAUCAUUCAUGAAGCUUCCCGGAGAGGCCGUCCCGUUAAAAGGAUAGUCUCAAUGGGGCAAAUUAACACUGUGAACCUUAAAACACGUUGGUGUCCAUGUAGUGUUGGUGCGGGCUCUGCUUGCUUAACUUGUGCCAACCAAAAGCUGGAUGCUGGGGGCUAUAACUAACCUAUUUCAUUAUUGUCUAAAAACUUUUAAUAUACAACCUUUAACAAUGGAUCUCUUGGCUCCU
rnacentral:misc_RNA from 1 species